rnacentral:rRNA from 1 species
UGGGGAAUUUUGGACAAUGGGCGAAAGCCUGAUCCAGCAAUGCCGCGUGUGUGAAGAAGGCCUUCGGGUUGUAAAGCACUUUUGUCCGGAAAGAAAUCCUUGGCUCUAAUACAGUCGGGGGAUGACGGUACCGGAAGAAUAAGCACCGGCUAACUACGUGCCAGCAGCCGCGGUAAUACGUAGGGUGCAAGCGUUAAUCGGAAUUACUGGGCGUAAAGCGUGCGCAGGCGGUUUGCUAAGACCGAUGUGAAAUCCCCGGGCUCAACCUGGGAACUGCAUUGGUGACUGGCAGGCUAGAGUAUGGCAGAGGGGGGUAGAAUUCCACGUGUAGCAGUGAAAUGCGUAGAGAUGUGGAGGAAUACCGAUGGCGAAGGCAGCCCCCUGGGGCCAAAUACUGACGCUCAUGCACGAAAGCGUGGGGGAGCAAACAGGAUUAGAUACCCUGGUAGUCCACGCCCUAAACGAUGUCAACUAGUUGUUGGGGAUUCAUUUCCUUAGUAACGUAGCUAACGCGUGAAGUUGACCGCCUGGGGAGUACGGUCGCAAGAUUAAAACUCAAAGGAAUUGACGGGGUCAUAGCUGUUUCCU